GGCAUGCCUUCCAUGCCAAGUCGAACGGCAGCACGGGGGCAACCCUGGUGGCGAGUGGCGAACGGGUGAGUAAUACAUCGGAACGUGUCCUGUAGUGGGGGAUAGCCCGGCGAAAGCCGGAUUAAUACCGCAUACGCUCUACGGAGGAAAGGGGGGGAUCUUAGGACCUCUCGCUACAGGGGCGGCCGAUGGCAGAUUAGCUAGUUGGUGGGGUAAAGGCCUACCAAGGCGACGAUCUGUAGCUGGUCUGAGAGGACGACCAGCCACACUGGGACUGAGACACGGCCCAGACUCCUACGGGAGGCAGCAGUGGGGAAUUUUGGACAAUGGGGGCAACCCUGAUCCAGCAAUGCCGCGUGUGUGAAGAAGGCCUUCUGGUUGUAAAGCACUUUUGUCCGGAAAGAAAUCAUCCUGGUUAAUACCCGGGGUGGAUGACGGUACCGGAAGAAUAAGCACCGGCUAACUACGUGCCAUCAGCCGCGGUAAUACG
rnacentral:rRNA from 1 species